rnacentral:lncRNA from 1 species
AUUUGCCUUACAGGCUGUUGUCGCUCUAAGGCUCACAUGAGGGAAUGUGGAUGAAAGGCUUUGGAAAGUGCACAAGCAGCUCUGGUUCUCAUCACCCCACGCUGCUGCCUAUCAGCUCAUCUGCAGUGUGUGGCGUUAGGACCCUGAUUCCUGAAUUGCUAGAGAAUGAUCCAGUGGAGCUUCCAAGAAGUGUGCCCAGCUGGGCUGGAAAGAAAAAAGACUGGAAAAAGGGACUCCGAUGCCGGUUGUCUAAACAGAGAGAGUGUUUCCCUCCUGGACAGGAUCACCCUAUAUAAGACACCCCUCCACCUCCACCAUUGGCCUUCAUAUCGAGGAUUAGCUUGGCGUCCCGAGCUCGCUCGCGGAGGGAACGACCCUGCGCGCGUCCGCCCGGCCGGCUCCGACACAAACACACGCACGUGCGCCCCGCCCCCGCCGCGCGC